AUUUUUUAUUUGAUGAUUUCAAAUUAUGAAAACUCGAAAACGUAAUAAAAAAGGUAAAAUGUAUAAAACAAACCCCUAUAUUAAUAAAGUAAUAAGAAACUUAAACAAUAAAAUUAAAAAGUUAUAAAAUACUAAACACUAAAAUAUAAAUUGUAUAUUUAAAUUUAUAUAAUAAUAUUAAAAUUAAAUAUUUAUAAAAUGAAAAUAUACCCGCACUAUGUGCGGGAUAAACUCUAGUUAACUUUACAAUUUGUCACACCCACACCAAUUAUAAAUUCAAACUAUACCAUUACGAUAUAUCAUCGCAAAAAAUAUAUCUUAACGUGUUUCACCAAAAAAAUAUUAUAAUUCUCAUUAGAAUUAUCGUUGUCGGCGGUAAAAUCGGCUAUGAAAUAUUUUACAUUAUUUAAAAUAGCAUAAUUAACCAGAUGGCUAAAAACGUGUUUCACCAAAUCUACGGGUUCUAUAACCAAAAUAACAUCUGUUAAAUGAAGUCACAACCAAAAGAUUUACAAUAACAUAUCGGAGGAACUGGAAUAUGUAAAAAUUUCAUUAAAUAAAAAUUUUAUAGUAAAAUUUCCUUAUUUAUACCUAACUAGGGCAGGUCCACGCUACGUGUGGGAGUUGAUAUCGAUUUUUAUAAAAUAUAUAAUUUUGUGUAUAUUUUAUUUUCCGUUUAAGUUUGGUACGAGUAUAAAUAUGUUGUCUACACUGAAUUCCAAUUUAAUAUAACUAAAGAUAACCGGAUACUUAGUAUUGUUGCUGAUUUAAUUAAGAGUUAUAAGAUUUUAUAGUGUUUUAAGUAUUAUAACACUAUAAAAUACAUAAAUCAACCGAAAUCGAUCAAUAAAGAAUGAUAUUGAGUUUUCAAAUACCAUUGUAUCUUUUUUUGUGAGGGUUUAUAAAAAAGUGAAAAAAUAGGUUUUAAUUUACAUGAACUCUCUGUCGAUUAUAGUUUUUUUUGUCCUAUCGAUUAUAGUUGUUUUGGACAAUAUUAAUAAUUGCUAUUAUUAACAAUUGUUGUUGGUUUUUUGGUAUCUAUGUUAUAAUGGGUUAUUGUGGUUUCUGAAUGUAUUGUUAUAUAUGAUUAAUUACGUUGAAUAUUUGACUUACAAAAUAAAUUUCUUAGUCUUUCUUUGUUUCUUUUGUUUGAUAUUUUUGCUUAAAUUUGCUUAUGAAUUACCCUUUCGUUUCAAAAUUAUACAUAUUUUAGAAUUUUCACAUUUUUUUAAUAAAACAUAUUGAAAUGUAGUCAUAAAUGCAUAGUUUUUUUUUGUAAUUUUAUAUUUCCUAUAUUUAAAAAAAAAUAAGAUUUUUAAAAUGCAUUUAAUGUUUUUGAAAUUCACAAUUUUUCAUUAUAAGUUGCAAAAAUUGCAUUGGAAAUAUAAAAAUGUAUCUUUUAGAAACAAAUUUUUUCUCUAUAAUAUGCAUCAUUUUGAAACGGAGAGAGUAUGUAAUUAAUCGUACUAACAAGUUAUUAGUAAGGCAGAAAAGGGAAAAAAUAAAAAGAAAAUAAAAAGAAAUGGCAAAAAAGUAACAAAUGUAUUACUUUAAAUAGACAAACUGAGCGUAACAUUUAUCCAAAUUUAAACACAUAAUAGAUCUUCAUUUUAAUUUAGAAAGAUUAAUUCAUUCGUUUGUUGUUAAUUAAAAGAUACCUGAGUUAUUUCUUUCUUGGUUCUAACAUAAUUUUUUUUAUUUAGAAUAAACAUAUGUUUGAACGAAGAUAAUAUGGAAGGCCUUCAAAUUCCAUUUGCUAAGCAAUAUUCUGUCAAAUUUUGAAAAUGUUGUUAAGUCUACUGCAAGCCUCUGCUUGUUUCAUAUUUCAUAUAUUUUUGUAGAAGUGUUACGGAAGUUAGUAAUUUAUGUUUCUUGUACAUGCCUUUUAGCUUCCCUUCAGUGACCUUGUUUUUGUCUUUUCUUCUCUAUUAUUCCUUCUCUCUCCCUUGCUUUUGUAGCUUUUGAUAUUUCUUGCAACCGAUGUUACUCCUUCAUCUCUGCCACUUCCUUUUGUUUUCUUUUCUCCUCUUUUUUCUUAAUCAACUCCUCUUCCUUUUUGUUAAUUUUGUUGGUUCUUCUUCUUUUUGGAUCUUCUUCCUUUGGCUUCUCUACUCCUCUUUUUCAGAUACAAAUUCCUUGACAAUUGAUGGAGGCUGGUCUGUCUUGACAGUCUUAUUAGAUUUUAUGGAUUAGGUCUUCUGCUCGGUGGGUUUUGGAAAAGUUCUUACACUUUUUUCACCUUUAUAUUCUACGGCCUUUUAUGUUAAAAUUGGUGGAGUUGUCUCAAGUUUCUCCCCAGUCUCUCAAAGUUCUAAAUUUAUUUGUUCUUGUAGCAUAAGUUAUCUGGAGAGGUUCCUCAUCGUAGCCAAGAAGACGUCAUCUAAUGUUUCUAGUUCUUAAGAUAUGAGGCUUGUGCUUAUGUCGGAAAAAAGCAUUGCAAGGCUGCUCUAUCUUUCUUUAAAGCCAUUUCAUAUGAUGCUUCUGAAUCUUCUCCUCAAUUGAAGAAAUAUUUAUUUUGCAAUACUUAAAAAUGAAAAAGUGAAUCAACAAUCUAACAAAAGCAGCGGCUUCGUGCUCUCAUUCAUCAAGAUUUAUCUCCAUCGAAUAUUUACAUGAAUCUUAGUUGAUUGUUCGGCUGUUUCAACUCCUUGGUUUGUCAGUCUAUGCAGAUCUCCUCUACCCUUUGUUGAGGAUGGCUAUAUCAACAGCACCUACUGGUGUUUUCAUUUAGAUUUCUGGUUUGCCUAUGGUAAAGGCCUUUUCUCUAAAUCUUUAGUAUUGAACUCAUAUGUGCUCUUCUGAGUUUGGAGUUGUAGUCCUAUUCUACCUUAGUAAAACCAAUGUUAAAAAUAAAAUCUAAUCAAAGACCAUCUAAUCUCGUAACUACAUUUUAUUCAUUCCUUCUGGCCGACUACAUUUUGUUACUUUAUGUUACGAAUUCAAAAGAAUAAUAUAAAAUGUAAGAGUGAAGGAAUAAAUUGAAAAAAAAAAAAAUUCGGUUAAGAAGGAGAAAGAUUAUCUUCUCUACAGUAUAAUUCGAUAAUGGUGAACAUUUCUCUUGUUAUAAAUUUUGUGUUUUUGUUCUAAUUUGGAGUUUCCGUAUUUCCGACUAUGUUCAAACUUUGUUUGUUUCUUUGUAAGUUGUAGUUGUUCCUUUUCCUCUUUGUUUUCAAAACUUUUCUUUAACUUGUGCACAAUUUUUUUUAUUUCUAGCAGGAAUAAUAUCACAAAUUAAACUUCACAUUAGAACAUAACACACAACUGAGACAAAUUUGUAAUUUAGAUAUGGUAAGAAGUGUAUGACUGGCUAAAACUAAUGUUAGUUCUUUUUCUCUCAUUUUUAACUCUUUCUGUUCUUGAUAGUCUUCGAACACCGACUCUGGUAUCACUCUCAGUCCUCUGUAAUACCUCAUUCAUCCCAUUUGUGUGAAAAAUCUUUGGCUUCGUCUCAGCCUUCGUUAAAGCCUAAUGGACUCACCAUAGCUUCUUCUGAUUUCUUGUGAUGAACGCCAGAGAACAGUGACACAUCAGAAAAGUCUAAAUAAUCCUGCGAUCAGAGAAAACUCAGUUUGUCUAACAUAGGUCGCAGAUCCAGUAGGCUGAUUAUAUAAGUAAGCGUUGAAGCUGCAUCGUUUUCUUUCCUCGCUUCGAGUCGUCACUGAGAUGUCUCCGGUGGCGUUGGAAGAAUGAUUUCUGUCUCGGCUUCCCUUUAUGCUUCAUGUGAAAGCAAUGUCCAAAGCAAAGUAGUGUCCUUGUUUUUUGUUUUUUUUUUUUGUUUUUUUUUUGAAGUACUUCAUUCAUUUCAACCAACAUCCAUACAUGAUUACAUCACAAAUUCUCAGUCCCUAAGGAUCUGCAUACAAAAAUAGUUUCCUAGCUUCAAUCAUGAAUAAACCGAAGCUCUAGAAUAAAGAAAUCCAAGUGGCAAGAAAGGAAACAGGAGCAAAACGCGCCAGUUGCCGUGGAGAGAGAAUGUCAAGUUUUGCUCUAAGCUGUCGAGAGAUGUCUUCAGUUAGAGCACUGGCCGUCGAGAAGUAUUGUUAUGAAGUAUAGCAUUCCUCUCUUUCCAAAUAAAAUAUAUUUCAGCUUGGAAUGCUGAGUACUGUAAGUGCAAUUGAAGAACAAAUGUUGUGUUGUCUCGGCCUGAGCACACAGAAGUGCUCACAGAAGACACUGAUCCGGAACCGAGAUUUCCUUCAUUAUAAUCAUUUAUCGGGCAUCGUAGCUGAGUUUUUGGCCCCGCAUUUUCCAGGUCUACCACCAUGUUUAUGCUUCUUCUGAUGAAUCUUGUUGCUGAGUUUUAUCUGUGAAGAAACGCAACCACCUCUGUCUUUCUUUUUUGGAGAGUUUCUAGUACAUACACCAGCUAAUAGCUGAAAAAAAACAAAAAGCUUUUAGAGGAAUCUGUUGCAAAAAUCAAGAUAUAAAGAAAGAACAAUGAUAAGACAACCACACCAGAUAUAUAUAUAUAUAUAUAUAUAUAUAUAUAUAUAUUUAUGUUCUUGUCUGAAAUCAAAUGAAAAAGAUUCAAUCUUUUAUCCUUUUAUUAUAAAAAAAAAGAGAAAUCAUCUGUAAGAACUUUAUGUAUACAUAAGAGAAUGCAUCAACAUUUAUAACUGGGAUGUUGAUCCAUGUAUAUCUUCAAGACCUUCAUAAAAGAGAAGAGGACAAACUUAAUUGGUCAUAGAUUCUUAAAUGUUUUUUUUUUGUUCUAAAUUUGUAUUUAGCAGAUGACAUCAAACCCUUAAGAUGUACAUCAUUUGAGAUUUGAAACGUGAAAGUAAAAAACAAUAUUCAAUAUAAUACCAAGUCUGAACAUUUCUUAGCAGAGCCGUGAAUAUACUUCAACCCCAUUUAAAAAAAAACAAUAAAUUUAAAAUUUGUGAACAAACAUGUA